rfam:Phytophthora sojae unplaced genomic scaffold PHYSOscaffold_2, whole genome shotgun sequence.
CCACUGGUGUUUUUUAACACCACCCUUUUCAAAGGAAUCCAAAGUGU